rnacentral:piRNA from 1 species
UAAGAAGUUUGCAUGGUGGUAAAAUGUC